GAUUCGCGUAGGCACUUUGUAGCAGUAGAUACUUUGCAGCAGUUUCCUCACCUGCACGGUGGUUUUAUGGGCCGAAUGCUCACUAAACUGACUUAUUCUUCCCGGUAACCUGCAUACAGACCUCCCAGGCCCUGGCGUGAAGGUGGCACUGUGACUAGCUCUUGCCGAUGGAAUGGGAGGAGUCAGUUAGAAAUUUUCAUAUGGUCAAAAUACCCAUGGAAUAUAUGAGUGGCAGCAGUAAACAAUCCUUGAAGUUCUUGCUUGUUUAACUUGACUGUUGGUGAUGCCCAAUGAGGCCCUGUCUGCUCCAAGCAAAUUACAUAAAAAAGAUGUGAAUAAAAACUCAUCAAAUACUAACAGAGCCUGUCUUGGAUGUUGAAGAUGAUUCAACCAGGAUGGCAAUAAUGUCAGAGAUCUCAGGUUCAGGAGUACAUGUGAAGUCAACUCCUCACUUUUAAAUGCUGCAAAGUGAGCAAACAUUGACUAGUGUGGCCAGACAUAGACAAUGGUGUAUUUGUGAGUAACGACCAAAUUCAUACAAUCUACUGUAAAUAUAUUUUCGUCUGUGUAUAUACAUAUAUGUGUAUAUAUGAGAAUAUUAAUAUAAAUUACACAUGUAUGUAUGUUAAAUGCACUGCAAAAAAUACAUUCUCUCUCCAUAUUUGUAUGUAUGUACAUAUGACCACUCUCUGACCCCUAAAAAUGAGGCAGUUAAAGAAUAUUUGAUGACAAAGAGAAAUAUUAAAAUAUUAAGUUGAAAAAGUUUUGGAAACAAUAUCAUAUAGUAUAAUCCCAUUUUGGAAAAUUUAUAUGUAUACACAUAUAUAUAAAACAUGUGUAGAAAAAAUGAGGAUAUAUAACAGUAUGUGACCAGUGGUUAUGUCCAUGCGGUGGAAUUAUUGGUGAUUUGUUUUCUUUCUGCUUUUUUUUUUGCGUUUCUUCAAUAAACAUGUAUUAUUUUUAUAGUCAGAAAAAGAUCCCAUGACAAA
ensembl:lncRNA LINC02119 long intergenic non-protein coding RNA 2119